AUUGAACGCUGGCGGCAGGCCUAACACAUGCAAGUCGAGCGGAUGAAGGGAGCUUGCUCCUGGAUUCAGCGGCGGACGGGUGAGUAAUGCCUAGGAAUCUGCCUUGUAUUGGGGGAUAACGUCCGGAAACGGGCGCUAAUACCGCAUACGUCCUGAGGGAGAAAGUGGGGGAUCUUCGGACCUCACGCUAUCAGAUGAGCCUAGGUCGGAUUAGCUAGUUGGUGGGGUAAAGGCCUACCAAGGCGACGAUCCGUAACUGGUCUGAGAGGAUGAUCAGUCACACUGGAACUGAGACACGGUCCAGACUCCUACGGGAGGCAGCAGUGGGGAAUAUUGGACAAUGGGCGAAAGCCUGAUCCAGCCAUGCCGCGUGUGUGAAGAAGGUCUUCGGAUUGUAAAGCACUUUAAGUUGGGAGGAAGGGCAGUAAGUUAAUACAUUGCUGUUUUGACGUUACCAACAGAAUAAGCACCGGCUAACUUCGUG
rnacentral:rRNA from 1 species